UCACUCUGAGGAGAGGAAAACAAAGAGGGAAGUGGUGAAACUGCAGGCAUCUGCACCAGGAUGAAGGUGAGCAGCCAGUAUAGGCACGGGUGAGAAGCUCCUAAUGCAAUCUGAAGCUACAGGUAAUCUCACGAGCACUCCUCCUUCUAAAUAAAAUCUUCAAACUUCAUUUUGCAACAGCCCAGGCUAUACUGGAAUGGCUCAAUUUGCAGCAAUGGAAGCCCUUGAAGGCAGAGCCAGGUCUUCCUGGUUCUGCUUUUUACCAGUCUACCUGUGCACCCUUGGAAAAGAAACCUGCUUUCAGGUCUGAGCCUGAUUUUAUGUAGAUCCAUAGGUCUGCAUAAAGGGGUCUUGAGAGCAAGACCUCCUUUUUCUGACUGCACACCUGCUCUCUCUAGGAUUGGUUACAGACACACACUCCCCACAGCUCCAUUUUGGGCCAGAGCUGAGGCAUGAACAAAAGAAAACUCUGUGAUAUUGCUUGUUCCUUCUGGUCUUCCAUGGAUGAGAAAAAGGGUAAAAAAAAGAAAUUAAAAAAGCCCUCACAAGGUGAAUAAACCCACACAAGCUAAGCCUUUCCUCCAUUAUCCCAGGACUGAUGGUGCUUCCAAAUGCAAGACACAUCAUUCUGAAAACUGUGAGCUCUGCUGAAGGGGAAGUGGAAUGCAGCACACUCAUCUCUCCCACACCUCUGCACCCUCCUUCUCACACAAUCUGGGGGUUUGAUAGUGUGCUGUGUUUUUGGUCUAACAGGAAACCCAGGCUGGAUGGUGCUGCCCCAAGGCCAGCUGGCCAUGGGAAUGUGAGUCAUUUCCUCCUGCAGAGAGGUAGCUCAGCCAUCACGAGGCAGCUCUCAGAUCACAGGGGCAUGUGUUGUUACCCUGGUUGCUGCUAAUGGCUCAUCGAACCACUGAUGCAGAGCUGGAGGGAAGGGAUAGAGGAGGAUGACAAUAUGCCUGCUCCUGUGUGUGGGGGACAUUCUACUCUUGUCCCUCACCGCCAAUCACCCCUUUGCUGUGCUGAAGGGAAACCACAGAGCUGCUGCUGAAGGCUGCUGCACCCCGUGUACCUCUCACCUGGCACACAGACCGGACAAUUCCUCUGAGUUCCUUCUCUAGGGUGAAAAGGCACAAAGCCAAGACACAGGUUUAGCCAUGGGAGACCUAAAUGAGGCAACCUACCCUGCAGGAACAGCUUUCACUGAGAGGCUGAGUGCUCCUGAAGAGCUGCCUUCCCUGGGGUCCCCCUGGAGCUGGAGGGAAGGAUGUGCAUCCUCAGGGCCUCAAAGCACCGGAAUGCACGGGAUGGAGCUGGGCAGUGCUGGGCACAUCCACUCCCGUGGCUGGGCAGUUUACAUUCACCCACUGCUCCAGCCUGGCUGCAGCAGCAGGGGCUGAAAUCACACCCCAACCAACCUGCCAUGGCACAGACAUGCAGCAGCUGGGCAAAGCUGUCAUCAGAGGGGAGGGAGCCUCCAUUCCCUCCGUGGACCCAUCAGCCCGAGUGGGUCUGUGCAUGGAGAGCCCUGCUGCUGCAAUAAGCACCAUGUGUAACACCCUCUCCCUCUUAAAUACACAAAUUAGGCUGAAGAACAAACAGGUAGGGCAAACUGUUGUCCACAACUGUGCACCAAACUCCCUGACUAGGGUUACCUGGACUCUCACCUAUCCUGGCAUGUGGUCUCUCCACAAAUCCCUGCAUGAGGAGUUUCUGUGUGAAAGAGCAAGAUGAGCACAUAAAUAAUAAAGGAAAAACUCAAAUUACA